GACGAACGCUGGCGGCGUGCUUAACACAUGCAAGUCGAACGGAAAGGCCCUGCUUUUGUGGGGUGCUCGAGUGGCGAACGGGUGAGUAACACGUGAGUAACCUGCCCUUGACUUUGGGAUAACUUCAGGAAACUGGGGCUAAUACCGGAUAGGAGCUCCUGCUGCAUGGUGGGGGUUGGAAAGUUUCGGCGGUUGGGGAUGGACUCGCGGCUUAUCAGCUUGUUGGUGGGGUAGUGGCUUACCAAGGCUUUGACGGGUAGCCGGCCUGAGAGGGUGACCGGCCACAUUGGGACUGAGAGACGGCCCAGACUCCUACGGGAGGCAGCAGUGGGGAAUAUUGCACAAUGGGCGGAAGCCUGAUGCAGCAACGCCGCGUGCGGGAUGACGGCCUUCGGGUUGUAAACCGCUUUCGCAUGUGACGAAGCGUGAGUGACGGUAAUGGGUAAAGAAGCACCGGCUAACUACGUG
rnacentral:rRNA from 1 species